AAUACAUGGGUAACCUACCCUCGAGAGGGGAAUAACUCGCCGAAAGGUGAGCUAAUACCGCGUACGAUCCUUGGUCGCAAGGCGAAGGAUGAAAGCUGCACCGUGGGUGUGGCGCUCGAGGAUGGGCUCAUGUCCUAUCAGCUUGUUGGUGAGGUAACGGCUCACCAAGGCUACGACGGGUAGCUGGUCUGAGAGGACGAUCAGCCACACUGGCACUGCGACACGGGCCAGACUCCUACGGGAGGCAGCAGUAAGGAAUAUUGCGCAAUGGACGACAGUCUGACGCAGCGACGCCGCGUGGGGGAUGAAGGUCUUCGGAUUGUAAACCCCUUUCGGGUGGACAGAUGGCUCUCGACAACGAGAGCGGACGGUACCACCAGAAGCAGCCACGGCCAACUUCGUGCCAGCAGCCGCGGUAAUACGAAGGUGGCAAGCGUUGUUCGGAUUCACUGGGCGUACAGGCUGUGUAGGCGGUUCGGUAAGCCCUCUGGGAAAGCUCCUGGCUUCAACCGGGAAAGUUCAGGGGGGACUGCCGGGCUAGAGGACGGGAGAGGAGCGCGGAAUUCCCGGUGUAGCGGU
rnacentral:rRNA from 1 species